rnacentral:piRNA from 1 species
UUUUCCUUCCAAAAUUAGAGA